rnacentral:rRNA from 1 species
AGAGUUUGAUCAUGGCUCAGAAUCAACGCUGGCGGCGUGCCUAACACAUGCAAGUCGAACGCGAGAGAGGCUUCGGCCUCGAUUGAGUGGCAAACGGGUGAGUAACACGUGGGUGACCUACCUUCGAGUGGGGGAUAACGUCCCGAAAGGGACGCUAAUACCGCAUAACAUCCUGCCUUUGAACAGGCGGAGAUCAAAGCCGGGGAUCGCAAGACCUGGCGCUUGAUGAGGGGCCCGCGUCUGAUUGGCUAGUUGGUGAGGUAACGGCUCACCAAGGCGACGAUCAGUAUCCGGCCUGAGAGGGCGGACGGACACACUGGGACUGAGACACGGCCCAGACUCCUACGGGAGGCAGCAGUGGGGAAUUGUUCACAAUGGGCGCAAGCCUGAUGACGCAACGCCGCGUGGGGGAUGAAGGUCUUCGGAUUGUAAACUCCUGUUGCUCGGGACGAAAAGCCUCGACCUAAUACGUCGAGGUCUGACGGUACCGAGUGAGGAAGCCCCGGCUAACUCUGUGCCAGCAGCCGCGGUAAUACAGAGGGGGCAAGCGUUGUUCGGAAUUACUGGGCGUAAAGGGCGCGUAGGCGGCCUGCUAAGUCGAACGUGAAAUCCCCGAGCUCAACUCGGGAACUGCGUCCGAUACUGACA